rnacentral:rRNA from 1 species
UACGUAGGUGGCAAGCGUUGUCCGGAUUUACUGGGCGUAAAGAGCGCGCAGGCGGUUGCUCAAGUCGCGUGUGAAAGCCCCCGGCUCAACUGGGGAGGGUCACGCGAUACUGAUCGACUCGAAGGCAGGAGAGGGAAGUGGAAUUCCCGGUGUAGUGGUGAAAUGCGUAGAUAUCGGGAGGAACACCAGUGGCGAAGGCGACUUCCUGGCCUGUUCUUGACGCUGAGGCGCGAAAGCUAGGGGAGCAAACGGG